rnacentral:rRNA from 1 species
UGCAUGUCUAGCAUGCGAGUCAUUGUAGCAUACAAGGCAUACGGCUCAGUAACGCGUAGUCGACCUAACCUAUGGACGGGAAUAACCUCGGGAAACUGAGGAUAAUGCCCGAUAGAACACUAUACCUGGAAUGGUUUGUGUUCCAAAUGAUUUAUCGCCAUAGGAUGGGACUGCGGCCUAUCAGUUUGUUGGUGAGGUAAUGGCCCACCAAGACUAUUACAGGUACGGGCUCUGAGAGGAGUAGCCCGGAGAUGGGUACUGAGACACGGACCCAGGCCCUAUGGGGCGCAGCAGGCGAGAAAACUUUGCAAUGUGCGAAAGCACGACAAGGUUAAUCCGAGUGAUUUAUGCUAAACGAAUCUUUUGUUAGUCCUAGAAACACUAACGAAUAAGGGGUGGGCAAGUUCUGGUGUCAGCCGCCGCGGUAAAACCAGCACCUCAAGUGGUCAGGAUGAUUAUUGGGCCUAAAGCAUCCGUAGCCGGCUCUGUAAGUUUUCGGUUAAAUCUGUACGCUUAACGUACAGGCUGCCGGGAAUACUGCAGAGCUAGGGAGUGGGAGAGGUAGACGGUACUCGGUAGGAAGUGGUAAAAUGCUUUGAUCUAUCGAUGACCACCUGUGGCGAAAGGCGGUCUACCAGAACACGUCCCGACGGUGAGGGAUGAAGCUGGGGGAGCAAACCGGGAUUAGAUACCCGGGUAGUCCAGCUGUAACUAUGCAACUCAGUGAUGCAUGACGUGGUGUGAUGCAGUGCUGACAAGG